GAGGGCUGUUGGGGAGAGUUGGGAGUGGGUGAGAGCCGUGCCCUAAGGGGGUGACUCCUGGGGCUGAUGGGCCUGGUGGGGACACCCAGAGGCCCAGGGGCAGGGUGGGGCAGUGGGGAGCACCCGGCGCAGCCAUUUGGGGACAGCCUCUGCUCCACCAGAGCCACGCCCCACCUGAAAGGGCUGCCUGGAGGUGGUGAGCUCCCUGUCCCUGGAGGCAAGCAAGUCCUCUCAGUGAGGCUGGGAGUGGUGGGCCUGCCCCACCUGGCCUGCAGGCCCCAGGCUUUGGGGUGCAGGGGUGAGGACAUACGAACCUUUAUGUCCAGGUGGAGAACGCCAUGGCUGUGCAGGUAGUGCAGCCCCUCCACCAGCUGCUGGAUGUAGACCUUGACCUGCGGCAAGGGCUGCUGUUCAGGGGGGAGCCCAGCCCCAGCCUCCCUCUGCACUUCAAGCCCAGCCUCCUCCUGGCUUCAGCAGCUGAUAUGCAAAGCCCUCCUGGGCCCUGUGUGCCCCUAAGCCAGGAGAUCCCUCAAAGGUGGGGAGGAUAAGAUGGACUUGUGAACCUCAGUGGGGGAGGGGCAGGCAGGGCUGGUCCGCUGGCCAGGUGAGGCGGGGUGGCAGGCUGUGUAGAGCCCGACAGGGGGUCAACACGGCCUGGAGGCCCUGGGGAGCCCCAGAGGCCCCUGAGCUAGAGAGAGCUGUGGCUGGGACUGUAUCUGCAGGGAUCCGAUGUCUGAGUGGGGGCUGGGGCAGGGUGCAUGGCUGGGGCAGUGGCAGGCGGUGGCCCAGUCACCUCGGCCUCCGUCACCACGCCCUUCCUGAACAAGCGGUCCAGCAGCUCCUCGGACGAGCACCUGGGAUCCCAUCAAGGAAAAGCAGGCUUGGGAGGCUGAAACCUGCCUGCCCCCAGAAACCCACACUCACAAUGAGGCAGCCAGAAGGAGUGCAGCUUCCUCCGGGGGCUUUGCUUCUCUGAGUCCGGCUCAUUGUCCCCUGAGGAGUGGGAAGCGGCUGGUAUGGGCAAAGGUGACCAGCGUGAUCCCCAUAGAACCCAAUGCUGUGGUGUUGACGGGAGCUGCUCCGUGGACCCAAGACUAUGGAACCACACCCACCCAGGUACCACACCCACCCAGGUACCACCAUGGGAAGAGAGGUUGCCCCAUGGAGCCAAGACCUGUACCCGGCCAGCCCGGCUGCAGAGCCUGGGGCCCAGGAGGGGUCGACCAACUCACCCCCAAGCACCAACAGCUCUGCCUUGCAGAGCACCUGGCCACCAGCAUUUUGGGCCAGGCAGGUGUAAACGCCGGCAUCCUUCGAGGCCACAUGCCUCAGCACCAGGGAGUAUGUGGUGCCUUCUUGCUGUUGGCUAAGCCGGGUGCUGUCCACCAGCUGGAUGCUGUCCUGGAGGCACAGGACCGGCAGGGCUGCUAUCAGCCCACUCUGGGGGACCCCAUCACCCCACCCUUCACUGUGCAGUGCUUCCGACACCUGCUGUGUGUCCAGUCUGGGGGGGAUGUGGGGCAAGUGCACGAUGUGGACUGUACCCACCUCCCAUGGGCCCCCCAGCUCCUGGGGCCAUCCCUGAAUCUCACCCACCUGGACCCGCACGCCUACCUUGUACCAGGUCACCGAGGGCUGUGGGUCACCCUCAAUGAUAGCCUCGAAUUGGGCCGUUCCGCCUGUCUGUACCUGCACAUCCUCGAUGGUUACCUGCAUGGAUGGGGGCCCUGGGAGGGCAGGGAGGGAACCGUGGAGACCACCUCCCCAGCCACACAACCCUGGGUGCCAGCCACAGCCCACCAUGCCUGGGUGCCAGCCACAGCCCACCAUGCCUGGGUGGUUGGUGAGACCCUAAGAUACACUGUAGGCAACUGAACGCCCCCCGCAGCCCAAGCAACAGCACCCCAUCCUGACCGCCCAGGCUUCUGACAGUUAGGGGUGCUCCUUCAGUGGAACUACUGCCUCUCCCACUCUGACCUCAGCUGGCCAGGUGAUCAGGAGGAGUUGGUGGGGGCCAGUGGAGCUCACUAACUCGGCUGCCGCUCUCAGGGACAGGGUCCUAUGGACACCAAGCUCACCGCCACUUGCCUCUCCCCAGUGGAGGGUUCUGGCCCCUCUGAGGGGACAUGGUGAGUAGACUGUGGGGGUCCCAGGCUGGGGCAGGGCUGGGACAGGCUGGGUGGCCUUUGCAGAUGUGCAAAUGCCCCCCAGCCCUGAGCAAGGGACGUGGGGAUCACACUCAUAACCCGGCUGGGCCCAAUCCCGUACGUGCGGUGUGCUUGUCGAUGGCCUGGUAUGUGUAGGUCCUCUGCGUGGUCUCCGUGACCACGUGGCUGUGGACGUCCCAGAGCAGCUCCCCUGUGCCUGCCCCGGGCCAGGCUGCACCCUCCAUCCUGGGGUUAGGAAGUGGGGUGAGGCUCUGCCGGGCCCCCACACGUUCUGAGCAGCCAGGCCUCCAGAUGAGAUAGUGGAUCCCUGCUCACCACUACUCGAAGAGGCUGCAGCAAAGCCUCUCUGGGAUGAGAUGUACAGACGGGGGCCCAGCUCUUAGUAUGGAGGGGGCCCCCCAACACCUCUCAUCCCAAGAGUGGCCUCUCCUCCCCGCCCUGCCCUGCCCGGGGUGGCUGCUGGCAAGGAGUGGAGUGAGGGCUGUGAGGCCACCGCAGUAACUCGUGCCCUGCCCUGUCUGCCCUGGGAUGUCCCCUGGGGGUUGGCCCCCACUGCAGGACCCAACAGUCUGGGGAGGUUACCGAAUGGGCACAGUCCAUUCCUGGGCUCUGGCAAUGGCUUCCGGCUCCUGCUCUGGGCCUUCGUGGAGGAGGGGCUGUGGCACCCUCGGGGGCACGGCUGCUGGGAGACGAGGGCCUCAUAAGAUGGAGCCCAGGUGGUACCCGCAGCAGGUCCCCAUGUUCCCACGCUAGGCAAGCCCAGGCAGAGCUUUGGGCUCCAGGGGCCCUGGGCCAUGGGUGAGAUCCUGGCAAGGCCCUGGGCCCCAAACCCAGUCCCCAGCCCACAGCUCAAGCAUGUGCAGUUAGCCACCCUGCAGAGCCCAGAUGCCAAGCACCCUCCAUAUCCAGCUUGGCGCCACCAGCCCCGAGGCUCCCCUGCCCACCCGCCAGGCUGACAACUGGAUGCAGUGGCCUUUGCCCUCUAGAACACUCCCUGACAGCCAGACAGGACAGGCAGCUCUGUCUCAGCACCGUGCAUGCCAGGAGCAUUCAACAGUUCCUAGCAUGCAAGUAAUGGGCAGAAUCCAGAGGGCCAGGGCAUCACCCCAUGGGGCUGCCCAGAGGUCACAGGUAGGGCCCUUGACCCCGUUCCACCCAGCUGCAUGGAGAGGACAGGAGAGACGCAGGACAGACUGGGUAGAGGAGUGGGGCUCAGGACAGCCCCGGCUGGCAGCACAGGCAAUGCAGGCAGGGCAGGUGGCUGUAGGAGUCGGGUACACGUGAGCUUCAAGCAGGUGGACGAGUGGGACGGGUGCCCGUCACAGGCAGGGCGGGUGGGGUCAUGGCCACAGCAGGCCAACCCAUGCCCACUCUGCAGAGGCAUCGGACAGAGUGAACGAGCGUCAGGCCUGUGAAGGAGCCCGCGAUCUGCCCAGGACGGGCCAAGCAGCACCUGGGGCAGGCUUGUCUGCUCAGCCACUGUGGCCCUGGCACACAGCCCAUUGGAUGUGGUGGGGUGCACUCCACCCACGAGGCAGAGUGAGAGUGAGGGCCAGGGCCAGUCCUCCCAGACCCCCGCCCCAGCCUCGACCUGUCCUUCCCUUGCAGACACCAGCCCUCAAUCACUGCAGGGGGAAGGGUGAUAGGCCAGAAGAAUGAGAAGAGACCACUUCCCAGGGUGACAGGGAUGCUGUGCCUCUUCUCCUGGGCCAGGCCCUGCGCCCAGCCAGCCCCGUGAUAGGCGCACGGAGCAACACCAAGGUGGGGCUUAGAGGGAUGCCCGUUGGCCCUAGGUGGCCCCAGGGUGCCCAGGCAGCUAGAGGGAGGAACCUGAGCUCAUUGAAGGCCUGGGGGCUUCCGUGCCUGUUGUGGGAAAGCAGACCCGAGGGGCUGGCCCUCUCAUCUCAUGGGGGAAGGUGGCCUGCUUGCCCCAAACCCUAUGCCCCCUGGCCCUGCGGGAGGCCACAGAAGCAGCACAGGGACUGUGGGACUGUUGGAAACGCUGGUUGGAGCAUGCGUUCAGGGAAUUAAGCGUGAGACCAUGGUGGGGGCCUGUCCCGUGCAGUCCUUGGGGAGGGGCACUGUGCCCUGGAGGUCUCAUCCUGCUUGGCUCCAGCCUGACGGCCUUUCUCCAAAGUGAUGGGACCAGGUAGGGGUGGCUGGGGAGGGUGCAUCAGGGAAGGCCCUGCAAGAUUGGGUGGGGUGACCACAGUGGGUAGGCACACAGGACGCAAGGCCGUGAUGGUCCUUUGUGUGAAGAUAACCAAGGCAGGCUCUGGGCCAAACAAGGAGAAGGAGAAGGGCAUGGACCUGAGAAGCCCACACAAGCAGGAUGCAGAGGACGCUGGACAGGGCAGGGGAGGAGCCUGGCUGCCAUCCUGCCCCAGCUCUGGCCUCGCUCCAGCCCCGUCCUCAUGGCUCUCUGGACGCCUGACUCCAGGCCCCCCAUCCACCUGUGGUGAGCAGCAGGGCCUGGGAUGAGAUUCCCCCAACCCAGGCCUCAGUUUCCCCAGAUGCACCAUCUGUCCCUUUAGGAAAAGGUCCUUGAUCGGGGACCUGAGGACUGGGCUGGAGCGAGGCCAGGGCUCGAGCAGGUUGGUGGCCAGGCUCACACCUGUAAUCCCAGCACUUUGGGAAGCUGAGGUAGGAGAAUGGCUUGAGCCCAGGAGUUUGAGAGCAGCCUGGGCAACACAGCAAUACCCCAUUUCUACCCAAAAAUAAAAAGGCCGGGCAUGGUGCCAUGCACCUGUAGUCCCAGCUACUUGGGAGGCUGAGGUGAGAGAAUCGCUUAAACCCAGGAGGUUGAGGCUGUAGUGAGCUGUGGUCGCAUCCCUGCACACUGCACUCCAGCCUAGGUGACAGAGUGAGACCCCGUUCCAAAGACAAAAAAAGAAGAAGCCGUUAAAGUGCUUCAUAACAGGAGACCCCCCAACACCUGGGGGAAGGGGCUUAGGUGAUCAUAACACCUGGGGGAAAGGGCUUGAGUGACCCACAGAGCUGGCUCUUGUAACAGCCAGUUUGGUCUGGUCUGUCUGGGGUACCGGCUGCUUCUGCCCCUCCCUCCUCCACCUCCUCCUCCUCCUCUGUCUUCUUCCCCCUCUACCCCCCUCCUCCUUUCCCUCUUACUUCUCCUCUCUCUCCUCCUCUCCUUUCUCACCCCCUGCUCCCCCUCCUCCCUGUCCACUGAGGAGCACAGGGCACCUGAAUUGGCCAUCACAGGCCAAGCAUGGGAAGCCUCUGGCUCCUAGAACAGAUUCAGAGCAGGAGGAAUCUUCCAGAACCCAUUCUGUGCCAGAUUCAGAUGGGGAAACUGAGGCCAAGCAAGAGAGAAGGCCAGGAGGGCCUGCAGAGCUGGAAAGCACCACCCAAGGGUCUCAGUCACCAAGACUGCAGGAGAGGCAAGGCCAUGCCAGGCCUGGCAGCUGUGGCUGGGGCCAGGAGGGAUGGACCAGGCC